GGGAACUGAAACAUCUAAGUACCCGGAGGAAGAGAAAGAAACAUCGAUUCCGUAAGUAGCGGCGAGCGAACGCGGAAGAGCCCAAACCGUGAUGCGUGCAUCGCGGGGUUCGGACUGCAGAAGGGAUUCAGUGAUGACAGGAGAACGGCUUUGGAACAGCCGGCCAGAGAGGGUGAGAGCCCCGUAUCCAAAGUCAGAGCUGACCUGGCAGGAUCCAGAGUACCACGGGACACGGGAAACCCUGUGGGAACGAGCGGAGACCACUCCGUAAGGCUAAAUACUACUCAGUGACCGAUAGCGUAUAGUACUGUGAAGGAAAGGUGAAAAGAACCCCGGGAGGGGAGUGAAAGAGAACCUGAAACCCUGUGUCUACAAGCUGUGGAAGUACUUCUCAGGUACGACCGCGUACUUUUUGUAGAACGGUCCGGCGAGCUGCGGGUACUGGCAAGGUUAAGUACUUAAGGUACGGAGCCGUAGGGAAACCAAGUCUUAAGAGGGCGAGUUUAGUCAGUACGUGCAGGCCCGAAACCGGGUGACCUAUCCAUGUCCAGGUUGAAGCCGCCGUAAAAGGCGAUGGAGGACCGAACCCACAUCCGUUGAAAAGGGUGGGGAUGAGGUGUGGAU
rnacentral:rRNA from 1 species